rnacentral:rRNA from 1 species
CCUACGGGAUGCAGCAGUGGGGAAUAUUGGACAAUGGGCGAAAGCCUGAUCCAGCCAUACCGCGUGUGUGAAGAAGGCCUUCGGGUUGUAAAGCACUUUCAGUGGGGAAGAAAGCCUUGGGGCUAAUACCCUCGAGGAAGGACAUCACCCACAGAAGAAGCACCGGCUAACUCCGUGCCAGCAGCCGCGGUAAUACGGAGGGUGCGAGCGUUAAUCGGAAUUACUGGGCGUAAAGCGCGCGUAGGCGGUCUGAUAAGCCGGUUGUGAAAGCCCCGGGCUCAACCUGGGAACGGCAUCCGGAACUGUCAGGCUAGAGUGCAGGAGAGGAAGGUAGAAUUCCCGGUGUAGCGGUGAAAUGCGUAGAGAUCGGGAGGAAUACCAGUGGCGAAGGCGGCCUUCUGGACUGACACUGACGCUGAGGUGCGAAAGCGUGGGUAGCAAACAGGAUUAGAUACCCUGGUAGUC